GGGCCUAUAGCUCAGUUGGGAGAGCGCUUGCAUGGCAUGCAAGAGGUCAUCGGUUCGAGCCCGAUUAGGUCCA
rnacentral:tRNA from 1 species